GACGAGUACGGGGAGGCGCAUCGCAGGGAAGGCAGCACCAGACCGCCGUCCAAUCUACCACCUCGCCGCCAACGAGCAUGAGCUGUGAGGAGGAGGCGCGUCGCGGGGAUGAAUCCGACAGGACACUGUCGACUCCACCACACCGCCGCCGAUGAGCUCGAGGAGGAGGCGUGACGGGCGGAGAGGGCUACACAAGGCCACAGACGACUCCACCACGCCGUGAAAAGCAGCUCUGAUGGAUCCCGACCGCCUCGGCGUGUGCCCCAUGUCGGGAUUUCUUUUCGUCUCCUCCCCGCCACGAUCUCUCCUGAAGCGGCGGUUGACUGGAGGCGAGAAACGUCGGGAGCCCUCGCCGACGUCUUCGUUGCUGGCGCUGCCGUGGCCGGCGAUGUCUUGGGCCGGGGCGCGGAAGAGGUUGGACAAGCAGUCACCAACUUGCCAUGCCACAACGCGACGGCAAGCCCCCGUGCUAGCAACGCCUUGGCCCCGAGCGACCGCUGAAGCCAGUGGAGGACCAGACGGUGCCGGUUCUCCUAUUGACGGCAAGAUUGGAAACCUUUCUUCUCAAUCAGAUUGGGUCAUGCUUUGCAGCUGUGGCCGACGGGCUUAUGGAAAACAACGACAACUGCGGAAUAUGGUUUUUGUUUGCUUCCUUAAUUGCCAGGCCAUGGCUGGAAUAGGUCGUGGUUUGUGGCAGGCAUCCUACAUCGAGCAUCGAGAACUUGGCAUUUGUUUGGUUUCUUAAUUCUCAGAUGAAGAUUUGCGCCCCUUCAUCAAGAUUCAGUUUAUUUUUGUUUGUUUCGUCCAUCAGUAGCAGGGGCAAACAACUUUUUGGUUGGACAGAUACCUCCCUUUCUACUUCCCCGUCGAACCAUUGAUUGAUCAUAGUUGAUCCUUGCUUAGCUUCAUGCCGCUGUUGCUGAUCCAAUCGAAGUCAGGGAGCCGGUUCCUCUUCGAGGAGUGGAGAGUUUUCAUGCUCAAUGAGAGUUGUCGUAAAUAGAAUCAAGCGUACUCUCUUCAAACUCAACGAGCUCACUGACAUCUUCACACUCGUGGACUCUGGUGCAUCAAGGAUAGAAGACCGAUAUGCUUCAGUACUGACAUUGAUCUACAAGUAAUUAGUUCUUUCAGCAACAAAUGCAAAUGCUUACAUGGUAAAACAUGGACAUGCAUUGGACCAUUCUAGAGAUGUCUCAUUGCUUCAGUUUUCUUUCUAGGUAUCCUUUAAUUGCUGCCCAUUCUCAAUUAGUUUAUUAACAAAUUAAUUAGUAUGUGAAGUAUUCCUAUUCCUUACAGAGUACCUUGGUUCUGCUCCUUUGUCCAAUUGUACUGUGCUUGCAUACAUAGCUGAAAACCCCCAAAAUUAUUCCAUGUAAUUUGCAAGCAGUUCAGAGACUCUUUGAGCACGUUCAUUGUUCAGAGCAUGUGUCCUUAGGUCUCCCAUACUUGAACUGCAUGAUAUGCAUCUUGAUGCUGAAAAGAAGAUGAUGUACAUAUAUGUGUGGCUCUUCUGAGCAAGUUUAUUAAUGUCUGGGAGGCUACUGUUAGUUAUAUUUGCCUGGUAGGUGCCUACAUAUGAUUUUUUUCAACAUUAGUCUCACUUGAUUUUGUGCAGCGUAUCUACUUCUGUAAAACUAUUUUAUCGGUUUUCGCAUGAGGAUAUGCGUAAUGUUCAGUGAAUAGAUUUUAGAAGGCACUAUCUAUUGCCUAGCUACUGAAAUUGCAUAAAUGAUCAGUGGGGAGAUUUUAGAAGGCACUAUCUAUCUAUUGCUAAUAGUAUGAUAAGACACUACAUGGUAAAUAUAUUAGCAUCCCGUUCAAAUGACUGGAGGUCUUCCUAAUUGAAGGGACUCUUUUCUAGCCAAAAAUUAAUCACACUAACAAUACAUCUAUACAAUGUGAUAUCCCGUCAGAAGCAUCACUACCCACACCCAGCUAUUGCUUUAGUAUCAAAUAGAACUGCAAUUGCUAAACUUCCACGUCAUUUUUUUUGUCAAGAGCUACUAAACUUUCCUCUUAUUUUUUGGAUGAGGUGUUCAGUUCUUUCUUGGUUGGGAUUGACACCGAGCACUACCCAGAAAGUUUCGGUGGGACAAUAUUCUCUACAAGGUCGGCUUCGGAUCAUCUGAACAUGAAACAACGACGACAGAAGUCUUACAUUACCUUUCCGAUGUUGGCAUUAUAGCUUUUUUCAAUUUCUUUGGACAGAGCUUGCUCCAGUUCUAGCCCUCCCCGUGCGAAGCAAAGAAAUCAUCACCAUCUUUCAUCUGCCACUGAAUAUAACAGUGCCAAACACUGAUAGUUUGAUGACAGGGGAACAGGGAGACCACCCGCCUUAGCAUGCUAAAAAAUUAUAUUCAUGCUAAUUAGUUCAACUAUACAGUUCAGGUACUGCUUAGGAACGUCAAUCCUAUCGGUUAUGUAAUGAAAAUAAUCUAUGUAUGUUAGUAUCUCUAGCCAAUGUCCCUACGUGGAUUUAUCUUACCAUCUCUGUACUCAACUAGGAAUAUAUAUAUUAGUAACAAAUUCAAAAGCCUGUGGAAGUUUUUUCAUAGUACAUAAAUUUUACUCAUUCCUUCAGUAUGUUUGGGAUAAGGAUAUCACAUAGAUAAAGUUUCACCUUGAAUUGCCGCCGCGCCAGUUCAUGUGGGCGGAUGUGGGGCAUGAGCAUAGCAGCCAGUCUGAAGACCACCGGCGCGGGAACUCCGGCUUCCAGGUGAACCAUUCCACUCCGUGCUUUUUUACUUCCAUCAAUCAGAUAAUUUCUCAAAUAUUUUCUUCUCUUUUCUCAGUUCAGUCAG